rfam:Camelus ferus unplaced genomic scaffold scaffold362, whole genome shotgun sequence.
GAGAGUAUAGUUCAGUGGUAGAGCAUGUCCUUAGCAUACAUGAGGUCCUGGGUUCAAUCCCCAGUAUCUCCA